rnacentral:rRNA from 1 species
UACAGAGGGUGCAAGCGUUAAUCGGAAUUACUGGGCGUAAAGCGUGCGUAGACGGUUACGUAAGUCGGGUGUGAAAGCCCCGGGCUCAACCUGGGAAUUGCAUUCGAGACUGAAUAGCUAGGGUACGGUAGAGGGAAGUGGAAUUUCCGGUGUAGCGGUGAAAUGCGUAGAUAUCGGAAGGAACAUCAGUGGCGAAAGCGACUUCCUGGACCAGUACCGACGUUCAGGCACGAAAGCGUGGGGAGCAAACAGG